GAAAGUACAUAAGAGCGCUUGGGGGAUGCCUAGGCUCUUGGAGGCUAUGAAGGACGUGGUAAGCUGCGAAAAGCUGCGGGGAUUUGCAAACGAGAUUCGAUCCGCAGAUAUCCGAAUGGGACAACCCGGCAGGCGGAAGGCCUGUCACACUGCAAAGUGAGCCAACCCUCUGAACUGAAACAUCUUAGUAGGAGGAGGAAAAGAAAGAAACAUCGAUUACCUAAGUAGCGGCGAGCGAACGGGUAAGAGCCUAAACCGGAAGUGUUACGGCACUUUCGGGGUUGUAGGACUGCAACAACGUUUUGGACGAAGAACCGGAAGUACCUGGAAAGGUAUGCCGCAGAGAGUGAAAGCCUCGUACGGGCAAUUCGGUUCAAUGCAAGCAGUAUCCUGAGUAGGGCGGGACACGAGGAAUCCUGUCUGAAUCGACCGGGACCACCCGGUAAGGCUAAAUACUCCCAAGAGACCGAUAGUGAACCAGUACCGUGAGGGAAAGGUGAAAAGAACCCCGAACAGGGGAGUGAAAUAGAACCUGAAACCAUACGCUUACAACCGGUCGGAGCAGCUUCGUGCUGUGACGGCGUGCCUAUUGAAUAAUGAGCCUACGAGUUACUAAUCACUAGCGAGGUUAAGUGCUGGGAAGCACGGAGCCGAAGCGAAAGCGAGUCUGAAAAGGGCGGUUAGUUAGUGGUUGUAGACGCGAAACCUUGCGAUCUACCCUUGAGCAGGAUGAAGGUUGGGUAAAACCAACUGGAGGUCCGCACCAAUAAACGUUGAAAAGUUUCUGGAUGACUUGAGGGUAGGGGUGAAAGGCUAAUCAAGCUGGGAAAUAGCUCGUACUCCCCGAAAUGCCUUUAGGGGCAGCGUUGUAAUAAAGAGUCUACUGGAGGUAGAGCUACUGAUUGGAUGCGGGGGCUUCACCGCCUACCAAAUCCUGACAAACUCCGAAUGCCAGUAGUAUGAUUUACAGCAGUGAGCGACCGGGUGCUAAUGUCCGGUCACAAAAGAGGAACAACUCAGACCAGCAACUAAGGUCCCCAAGAAUAUGCUAAGUUGAACUAACGAUGUUUUGUUGCAGAGACAGCUAGGAUGUUAGCUUGGAAGCAGCUAUUCAUUCAAAGAGUGCGUAACAGCUCACUAGUCGAGCGACAGAGCGUGGAUAAUAAACGGGCAUCAAGCAUAUCACCGAAGUUCUGGGCGCGAGAGCGCGGUAGGGGAGCAUUCCAUUCAGCGUCGAAGCAGUUUCGUGAGGAAUUGUGGAGCGUAUGGAAAAGCAAAUGUAGGCAUGAGUAACGAUAAUGCGGGAGAGUAACCCGCACACCGCAAGACCAAGGUUUCCUGAUCAACGCUAAUCGGAUCAGGGUUAGUCGGGUCCUAAGGGUAAGCCGAAAGGCGAUCUCGAUGGAUAAUCGGUUAAUAUUCCGAUACUGACAUAUAUUUCGAUGGAGAGACGAAGGAACGUAAGUGCCGCCACCUGACGGAAUAGGUGGUUAAAGGAUUUAGGUAUAGGGACGGAUUAAGAGUCGGUUCCUGCUGAAUUCCGACAGUACAGAGAGCCUACGGGCAAUUUGAUAGUGCACCCAAGUCGACUUCCGAGAAAAUCUUCUAAGGCUAGGUAUAUGUCACCCGUACCGUAAACCGACACAGGUGGUCGAGGAGAGUAUCCUAAGGUGCUCGAGUGAAUCACGGUUAAGGAACUAGGCAAAUUAACCCCGUAACUUCGGGAAAAGGGGUCCCUACGAAAGUAGGGCGCAGCGAAGAGGUCCAGGCGACUGUUUAUCAAAAACACAGGGCUCUGCAAAUUCGAAAGAAGACGUAUAGGGCCUGACACCUGCCCGGUGCUGGAAGGUUAAGAGGGGAUGUCAUCGCAAGAGAAGCAUUGAAUCGAAGCCCCAGUAAACGGCGGCCGUAACUAUAACGGUCCUAAGGUAGCGAAAUUCCUUGUCGGGUAAGUUCCGACCUGCACGAAUGGUGUAACGAUCUGGACACUGUCUCAACCGUGAGCUCGGUGAAAUUGUAGUCCCGGUGAAGAUGCCGGGUACCCGCAACGGGACGAAAAGACCCCGUGAACCUUUACUACAGCUUAACGCUGAAUUUGGGUACAGAAUGUGUAGGAUAGGCAGGAGACUAUGAAGCAGGUACGCCAGUAUUUGUGGAGUCGCCGUUGAAAUACUGCCCUUUGUGUAUUUGAGUUCUAAUCCCUCAAGGGAGACACCGUUUGGUGGGUAGUUUGACUGGGGUGGUCGCCUCCAAAAGCGUAACGGA
rnacentral:rRNA from 1 species